rnacentral:rRNA from 1 species
GACGAACGCUGGCGGCGUGCUUAACACAUGCAAGUCGAACGGAAAGGCCCUGCUUUUGUGGGGUGCUCGAUUGGCGAACGGGUGAGUAACACGUGAGUAACCUGCCCUUGACUUUGUGAUAACUUCAGGAAACUGGGGCUAAUACCGGAUAGGAGCUCCUGCUGCAUGGUGGGGGUUGGAUAGUUUCGGCGGUUGGGGAUGGACUCGCGGCUUAUCAGCUUGUUGGUGGGGUAGUGGCUUACCAAGGCUUUGACGGGUAGCCGGCCUGAGAGGGUGACCGGCCACAUUGGGACUGAGAUACGGCCCAGACUCCUACGGGAGGCAGCAGUGGGGAAUAUUGCACAAUGGGCGGAAGCCUGAUGCAGCAACGCCGCGUGCGGGAUGACGGCCUUCGGGUUGUAAACCGCUUUCGCCUGUGACGAAGCGUGAGUGACGGUAAUGGGUAAAGAAGCACCGGCUAACUACGUG